AUUGAACGCUGGCGGCGUGCCUAACACAUGCAAGUCGAGCGGUAACAGGUGUAGCAAUACAUGCUGACGAGCGGCGGACGGGUGAGUAACGCUUGGGAAUCUGCCUAUUAGUGGGGGACAACCCGGGGAAACUCGGGCUAAUACCGCAUACGCACUACGGUGGAAAGCCGGGGACCGCAAGGCCUGGCGCUAACAGAUGAGCCCAAGUCGGAUUAGCUAGUUGGUAGGGUAACGGCCUACCAAGGCGACGAUCCGUAACUGGUCUGAGAGGACGACCAGUCACACCGGAACUGAGACACGGUCCGGACUCCUACGGGAGGCAGCAGUGGGGAAUAUUGGACAAUGGGCGAAAGCCUGAUCCAGCGACGCCGCGUGGGUGAAGAAGGCCUGCGGGUUGUAAAGCCCUUUCAGUGGGGGAAGAAAAGCCUCGAGCUAACACCUCGGGGUCUUGACGUAACCCAUAGAAGAAGCACCGGCUAACUCUGUGCCAGCCGCCGCAGUAAU
rnacentral:rRNA from 1 species